GAUAUAGCUUCAUUGGUAGAAUGCUUGCCUGGUAUGCAUGAGGCCCUGUGUUCAAUCCACAGUUAAAACA
rnacentral:tRNA from 1 species